GGUUUCUAUGAAUAAUUCAUAUUAUAAAAUUGUUGAAUAAUCAGAGAUGGAAAUUGAUGGCAAACCAAAAAAACUAAGCUGGAGGGAUUUGGAAGUCUUAACCGACUCCUUUUGCAAAGAAAACUUCAUUGUAAAUGUUCAAUUUGGCAAACUCUACCGCGGAAAAACCCCAGAUGCUCAAGAGCUUACUGUCAAAAUUUGGUAGCUUCCUCCUGACGACGUAUGUACCAUCGCACUUGGCGACGGUGCUAUUGUUGACAGAUUGGAGCGUGAGCUCUUUGUUUUGACAAAUCCGGAUCUCGGAAAUCACCCCAAUUUGGUGAAGUUGAUACGGUAUUGCUGUGAAGAUCAAGGUUCCCAUUAUGGUGUUGUCUAUGAUGUUAGAUCAAAGGAUUCUCUUCUCAACCUUAUCGAAAAAGAUGAUUUUACUUGGACCCAGAGAAUGCAGGCGGCUCUCGGAGUUGCUCGUGUGCUUGAGCAUUUGCAUGAACGGAAUUACCUGGUUUGCAAUGUUCACCCUGCUCAUGUCAUUCUUGAUCAGGUUAGCAUUGGCGUUGUGAUCAUGAAUUCUCAAUUAACUUUAUAGCUCUAGCCACAAUUCUUUAAUUUUCAAAAGUUUUAUGAAGUCUUGCAUAAUCCAAUGGCUCUGCAGGAUUCCAAUCCAGUGUUACUUGACUUUAGUCUGCGACCUGAUCGUACCAUUGUGAAACGGUAUCCAUGCACUGUAUAUUACGGUUAUGAUAGCUAUGUUGAUCCACUUUUUGUUCACAAUGGUAUAUCCCUUUAUGUUUUAUUUUUUAAUUCAUAUUUUAAUGUUUUGAACUUGUUUAAGUUUACUGCGUCUGCGUAAUUACUGGACAUAAUACUGAUGUUAUUAUAUGCACUGUGAACUGCUUGACUACCGUGAAGACAAGCUAUAUGCUGAACUGAUUGGCAAUAUGAUUAUCUGUGUUUUUAUGCAUGGACUAGAAAAUUGGCCCCUUAAAAGUGCUUUGGCAGAAGUCCCUAAUUGUCACUUUUGUGGGAAGGGCUAUUUGUCUAAUAAGUGGGUAAAGGAAACAAUUUUGGGAGAGUCAACCGACAUCAUAAGUGGUAGGCCAUAGGCAGUGGGUUGCGAAGUUGUAAAAAAUUUACCUAAGGCUUUUUGUUCUGUUUCUCUAGUCUAAGCUAUAAUUGUUUUACAAUAAACAAGUGUUAUCUGUUUCAAGUAGCUGCCCUUAUUCAGGUAUUGCUUUAAAUUUUUCCAUUCCUCUUGAAGCUAUUGAUAAAUGUGUGAAAAAAUACUACUGUGAAUGCUUGUGGUGAUAUUUUAGUGAAUUUAUAGGCAUUGCAUCUCUUAGUUGUGCUAAUGUUCGUGUUACUCAUGGUCACUGUAAUUUUUGGGUCAAUGCUUGCAAUGUUAACAUUUCUGUGUUUACUGUAGUGGAGUUGCUUGGAUGUAAGAGUCUUAUGGAAUUGCAGUUUUACUUCACUCUUUUUUUCCCUAUGGUUAUUCCAUACAAAAUUUUUCUUUUCCUUCUCUUUUUCCUGAUCAGUUGUUCUUACAAACUUUUUCUAUAAUAGGUUUUUGCCUUUUUGGGUGAAGAGAACCGAUGUCUUUUCAUUUGGUAUUGUACUUUUAGUGCUCAUUACUAAAUUUGUCUUUGAUCAAUCCAAGUGCCGAGCUGCUAGUGAAUUUCCUGCAGGAUGGGCAUAGAGACAGUACAAGCAGAAGUUGAAUUCUAGCUCACAACCAGUUGGCUGUUUACUUGUUCAUAAGAGCUUUGACGGUGCACCAGAUUUUGAUGUUCGAGAUGGAGUGGCAAUUACAAAGCUGGCAGUGCACUGUGUGGACUUGUAUGAAAGUAAACGCCCUACAAUGACACAAAUUGUUAAUUAUCUGCAGGGUAUACCUCUUUUCUCUGCGAAUUUUGGUGAUGCUAUACUGCGGGGAGAUUUAUUAGAUGAAUGGGACACACAAUCUACAGAAGCAACUGCUGGGAAGAAAUAAAAACAGUAAUGCAGAGAAUGAAAGGAUGUCUUUUUUGCCGUUGUUUGAUCAUGAAGACUAACUAAAUGGGAGAAAAAGAGAAUAUUAGUGCAUCAAACGAAACACUGGUAGAUCCAAUUGGGAUUUUUCUUUCUUGACAACCCAAAAGCUGUAAAGUUUACUUUUAUGCGGGUUUGAAUCAAAUGUUAUUUUUCUCUCUGGACACCGAUUGAGGAUAAACAUAACUGAAUGAUGUCUUCUAGUUUUUCUUCCAUUCUGUUAAUGAACUUUGCAGCGAAUGCAGUUGGUAGGCUAUGUUCAAAUUUAAAGGAAGAUAUAUGCUUAGGUUCUAUGUUCCAAGAUAGUUGACUUGCAUUU